rnacentral:rRNA from 1 species
UACGUAGGCAGCGAGCGUUGUUCGGAGUUACUGGGCGUAAAGAGUGCGUAGGCGGUUUUCUAAGUUUGGUGUGAAAUCUCACGGCUCAACCGUGAGCGGUCCCCGGAUACUGUCAGUCUUGAGGGGUCUAGAGGAGAGCGGAAUUUCCGGUGUAGCGGUGAAAUGCGUAGAUAUCGGAAGGAACAUCAGUGGCGAAAGCGGCUUCCUGGACCAGCACCGACGUUCAGGCACGAAAGCGUGGGGAGCAAACAGG